ACCACAAAGCUAGCCAGACCAAAUCACUAACAUACACCUAUUAACUAAUAUACAAAACUUAACACCCAUAAUUAAAACAUUCCGUCCAUCCUAGUAUAGGCGAUAGAACAGAAACACCUGAGCCAUAGAAGUAGUACCGCAAGGGAAGGCUGAAAAAGAAAUGAAACAAACCAUUAAAGUACAAAAAAGCAGAGACUCACCCUCGUACCUUUCGCAUCAUGAUUUAGCAAGAACAAUCAGGCAAAACGAUUUUCAGCCUAACUUCCCGAAACCAAGCGAGCUACUUCGGAGCAGCACAUUAGAGCCAACCCGUCUCUGUGGCAAAAGAGUGGGAAGACUCCCAAGUAGAGGUGACAAACCUACCGAGCUGGGUGAUAGCUGGUUAUCCAAGAAAAGAACUUAAAUUCUGCAUUAAUACUUCAACAGGGUAUCCAAAACCCUUUUACUAAACCCUGCUGUAAACAUUAAUAGUUAUUCAAAAAAGGUACAGCUUUCUUGAACUAAGAAACAACUUUCCAAGGUGGGUAAAGAUUAAACAAGGACUAUCCCUCAGUGGGCCCAAAAGCAGCCACCUGUCAAGCAAGCGUUACAGCUCAAGCAUAACCCAAACCCAAAAAUCCCCAUAUUCAACUCACAACCCCCUCAAAACUAUUGGAUUAUUUUAUUCAACUAUAUAAAAGAAAUUAUGCUAAAAUGAGUAAUAAGGGAAUUAACUCCCUCCCACACACCAGUGUAAGUCAGAAAGAAUUAAAUCACUGACAAUUAUCCGGUGUCAAACUGAGACCAUCAUAAACCAAAAUACAUAACAAGAAAAACUCAUUUAAACCACCGUUAACCCAACACAGGAGUGUCCCCGGGAAAGAUUAAAAGAAAAUAAAGGAAUUCAGCAAACACAAACUCCGCCUGUUUACCAAAAACAUCGCCUCUUGCCCACAAACCCGUAUAAGAGGUCUCGCCUGCCCUGUGACUCAUUCAACGGCCGCGGUAUCUUGACCGUGCGAAGGUAGCGUAAUCACUCGUCUUUUAAUUGAAGGCUCGUAUGAACGGCAUAACGAGAGUUUACCUGUCUCUAUUUUCCAAUCAAUGAAAUUGAUCUCCUCGUGCAGAAGCGAGAAUAAAAACAUAAGACGAGAAGACCCUAUGGAGCUUUAAACACUUAAGUUACCCUUAAACACCCCCAAAUACCUCUACGGACCUAAACCCACAAUUAACCCCUAACUUAACCUGUUUUUGGUUGGGGCGACCGAGGGGAAAAACAAAACCCCCUCAUCGAAUCCGUGAUCACCACUAAAAUUAGAACCACUAUUCUAAUUAAUAGAACAUCUAACGAACAAUGACCCAGAAGAACCCUUCUGAUCAAUGGACCAAGUUACCCUAGGGAUAACAGCGCAAUCCUUUCCAAGAGCCCUAAUCACCGAAAGGGUUUACGACCUCGAUGUUGGAUCAGGACAUCCUAAUGGUGCAGCAGCUAUUAAGGGUUCGUUUGUUCAACGAUUAAAGUCCCACGUGAUCUGAGUUCAGACCGGAGCAAUCCAGGUCAGUUUCUAUCUAUGAAGGCAUUUUUCCCAGUACGAAAGGACCGGAAAAAUAAAGCCCAUGCUCCCUAAGCAUGCUUUAUUCCCAACCUGUUGAAACCAACUCAAACAGGCAAAAGAUGCCACCACAAAACCAAAGACAAUGGUUU
rnacentral:rRNA from 1 species